rnacentral:rRNA from 1 species
UACAGAGGUCCCAAGCGUUGUUCGGAUUCACUGGGCGUAAAGGGUGCGUAGGUGGUGAGGUAAGUCGGAUGUGAAAUCUCCGGGCUCAACCCGGAAAUGGCAUUGGAAACUACCUUGCUGGAGGGUUUGAGGGGGGAUUGGAAUACUUGGUGUAGCAGUGAAAUGCGUAGAUAUCAAGUGGAACACCAGUUGGCGAAGGCGAAUCCCUGGAAAAUACCUGACACUGAGGCACGAAAGCUAGGGGAGCAAACAGG